rfam:Myotis lucifugus cont2.7988, whole genome shotgun sequence.
CUCAGGGUGGGGGUCCCUCAGCCGGGAUUGCGAAAGGGCACAGGCCAGGCCGAGGGACCCCACCGGUGCACG